AAAUAGAUACCCAGGUAGUCCACGCCGUAAACGAUGAGUGCUAAGUGUUAGAGGGUUUCCGCCCUUUAGUGCUGCAGCUAACGCAUUAAGCACUCCGCCUGGGGAGUACGGCCGCAAGGCUGAAACUCAAAGGAAUUGACGGGGGCCCGCACAAGCGGUGGAGCAUGUGGUUUAAUUCGAAGCAACGCGAAGAACCUUACCAGGUCUUGACAUCCUCUGCCAACCCUAGAGAUAGGGCGUUCCCCUUCGGGGGACAGAGUGACAGGUGGUGCAUGGUUGUCGUCAGCUCGUGUCGUGAGAUGUUGGGUUAAGUCCCGCAACGAGCGCAACCCUUGAUCUUAGUUGCCAGCAUUCAGUUGGGCACUCUAAGGUGACUGCCGGUGACAAACCGGAGGAAGGUGGGGAUGACGUCAAAUCAUCAUGCCCCUUAUGACCUGGGCUACACACGUGCUACAAUGGAUGGUACAAAGAGCUGCGAACCCGCGAGGGUAAGCCAAUCUCAUAAGCCAUUCUCAGUUCGGAUUGU
rnacentral:rRNA from 1 species